CCCUAUGGGGUGCACCAGAUCCUCAUGAAUUUGUUGUUCAAUCAGCCAGCCCUGUUGCCGAUUUUUCAGCUAGCAUUACGGUGAUAGAAGCGGGGGCAAAUGUAUCAUUUAGCGAUAUAUCAUCAAAUAAUCCCACAUCCUGGUCCUGGUCAUUUCCAGGGGGCACACCCUCCACGAGCACGAGCCAGAAUCCUGUAAUCACUUACAAUACAACCGGUACCUAUGAUGUAACCUUAACAGCUACCAAUUGUGUGGGCAGUGAUAUUGAAACAAAGACCAGCUAUAUUUCAGUGAUAACAACCGAGGUUUAUACUACUCCAGGCACGACGAGUGUAUCUGUACCGCCAUGUGCGACGGGUGUAAUAGUAGAGGCCUGGGGUGGCGGCGGGGGGGC
rnacentral:rRNA from 1 species